AAUAGAUACCCCGGUAGUCCACGCCGUAAACGAUGAAUGCUAGGUGUUAGGGUUUCGAUACCCGUUGGUUGCCGAAGUUAACACAUUAAGCAUUCCGCCUGGGGAGUACGGUCGCAAGACUGAAACUCAAAAGGAAUUGACGGGGACCCGCACAAGCAGUGGAGUAUGUGGUUUAAUUCGAAGCAACGCGAAGAACCUUACCAGGUCUUGACAUGCCUCUGACCGCUCUAGAGAUAGAGCUUUUCCUUCGGGACAGGGGGACACAGGUGGUGCAUGGUUGUCGUCAGCUCGUGUCGUGAGAUGUUGGGUUAAGUCCCGCAACGAGCGCAACCCCUAAUGUUAGUUGCCAGCACCUUGGGUGGGCACUCUAACGUGACUGCCGGUGACAAACCGGAGGAAGGUGGGGAUGACGUCAAAUCAUCAUGCCCCUUAUGACCUGGGCUACACACGUACUACAAUGGCCAGUACAACGGGAAGCGAAGUCGCGAGAUGGAGCCAAUCCUAUCAAAGCUGGUCUCAGUUCGGAUUGCAGGCUGCUAACCG
rnacentral:rRNA from 1 species